UACGUAGGGGGCUAGCGUUGUCCGGAAUCAUGGGGCGUAAAGCGCGUGUAGGCGGCCCGGUAAGUCCGCUGUGAAAGUCGGGGGCUCAACCCUCGGAUGCCGGUGGAUACUGUCGGGCUCGAGUACGGAAGAGGCGAGUGGAAUUCCUGGUGUAGCGGUGAAAUGCGCAGAUAUCAGGAGGAACACCAAUUGCGAAGGCAGCUCGCUGGGACGUUACUGACGCUGAGACGCGAAAGCCAGGGGAGCAAACGGG
rnacentral:rRNA from 1 species